rnacentral:rRNA from 1 species
AACAGGUUGAUAUUCCUGUACCAGUUGAUUGUGCUUGAGUGAUGGAGUGACGCAGAAGGCUAAGCGAUCCGGACGAUUGGAAGUGUCCGGCCAAGCAGCAAGUCAGUUGAUGAGUCAAAUGCUUAUCGGCGGGGUGACAAGCUGUGACGGGGGGCGAAAUUAUAGUAGCGAAGUCGUUGAUGUCACGCUGCCGAGAAAAGCUUCUAGCGAAUAAUCAACUGCCCGUACCGCAAACCGACACAGGUAGUCGAGGAG